GACCUAUCAGCUUUCGACGGUAGUGUAUUGGACUACCGUGGCAGUGACGGGUAACGGGGAAUUAGGGUUCGAUUCCGGAGAGGGAGCCUGAGAAACGGCUACCACAUCUAAGGAAGGCAGCAGGCGCGCAAAUUACCCAAUCCUGACUCAGGGAGGUAGUGACAAGAAAUAACAACACUGGAAAUUUUAUUUCUAGUGAUUGGAAUGAUGGGAAUUUAAACCCCUUUCAGAGUAACAAUUGGAGGGCAAGUCUGGUGCCAGCAGCCGCGGUAAUUCCAGCUCCAAUAGCGUAUAUUAAAGUUGUUGCAGUUAAAAAGCUCGUAGUUGGAUGUCUGCUGGAAGCGAUCAGUCCGCCCUAUUUGUAGGGUGUGCACUUGAUGAAUUCUGGCAUCUUUGUCCCAAUGAUGUAGCGGGGCGGUGGUAUUCGGUGAAAGCCGAGUAUCCUGUUCCGAUUAUUGGGAUACUGUUACUUUGAGAAAAUUAGAGUGUUUGAAGCAGGCUAAUUGCCUUGAAUACUGCAGC
rnacentral:rRNA from 1 species